GAACCCGUUACAGCUUACCCUGCACCUCCCGUGGCGGCCGGACCCAGUUCAGCAUACCCACCGCCUUAUGCAGCACCGUAUUCGUCGGCGGCAAGUACCGGAUAUUAUCCGCCACCGGCAGGCGGGUAUCCACCAUCCGCCUACCCACCUUCAGGAUACCCGCAGCCUGCUCCUGCUGCGACGGGUUAUGGAUACCCACCAGCACAAGCAUACGGCGGUUACCCACCACCGCCGCCUAAUGGAUAUGGGUACCCGCACCAACAGGGAUAUGGAUACCAGCCCCAACAGGGAUAUGGGUACCCACAGGUGCAACGACCGCCAAAGAAGAACAAGUUUGGUGGUGGUGGAGCUGGGUUAGGGCUUGGAUUGUUGGGAGGAGCUCUUGGUGGGAUGUUGAUUGGUGACAUGAUUUCAGAUGCCGGGUCUUAUGAUGGUGGGUAUGAUGCAGGAUUUGAUGAUGCUGGUGGGUUUGAUUUUUGAAGACUUUUUUUUAUUUUUAUUUUUUAUAUAUAUAUAUUUGGAUUUUGUAGUUGAUAAAUUUGGGAAUUUUCUUUAUGGGCCUUGAGCUACAAUUUGUGUUGAUUUGGUCAUCAUAUCAUAUGAAUAAGUAAUCUACUGUGAUCUUAGUGUUGACCGACUUGUGUAUUUAUUAAUGUUGAAUCUAAAGUAUAGGUAGAUGAACAAAUGUUCCGACUUUUUUUUAGAAUCUUGAUAAAUUGAGCAGGGCAAAUAAUUA
rnacentral:lncRNA from 1 species